AAAAAUAUGGAAUGUUUCACGAAUUUGCGUGUCAUCCUUGUGCAGAGGCCAUGUUUAUCUUCUCUGUAUCAUUCCACUUUUAGUAUAUGUGCUGCCAAAGUGAGCAC
rnacentral:snRNA from 1 species